GAAUUGAAGAGUUUGAUCAUGGCUCAGAUUGAACGCUGGCGGCAGGCUUAACACAUGCAAGUCGAACGGUAGCAGGAAGAAGCUUGCUUCUUUGCUGACG
rnacentral:rRNA from 1 species